UCUUCAGUAGUAUAGUGGUCAGUAUUUCCGCUUGUCAAGCAAUUGACAAUCCGCGGGAGACCGGGGUUCAAUUCCCCGCUGGAGAG
rnacentral:tRNA from 1 species